CUUAGGGAACAUCAAUCCCACCAACUUUCAGUGGAAAUUAUCCUUUCAAAUUACUAUGCUGUUUUUGAAAUUCAUGUUCUGUCCCAUUCUAGGAAAUGUUCUGAAUACUGACACCCUACCAUAGCCUCCUUAAGGAACAUCCAUCUGAUUACCAUUAGGGUCAGCAGAGAGGCAAGGCAGGCCCCACAACAGGGACAUCUCAACCAGCCAAAGUCAGGAUGCAGCUCCUUCUCCAAUCCUUCCUUACUCAGCCUGGCAAGUGAACUACCAGGUCUGACAGUUGAUUUUUGCAAGGGACCUCUCAGCUGCAGUAUUGGAAAUGCUUUAUAAAUAUAGGGAAAUUUUGCUUA